rnacentral:rRNA from 1 species
AUUGAACGCUGGCGGCAGGCCUAACACAUGCAAGUCGAACGAGUGGCGGACGGGUGAGUAAUGUCUGGGAAACUGCCCGAUGGAGGGGGAUAACUACUGGAAACGGUAGCUAAUACCGCAUACCAUCGGAUGUGCCCAGAUGGGAUUAGCUAGUAGGUGGUGUAACGGCUCACCUAGGCGACGAUCCCUAGCUGGUCUGAGAGGAUGACCAUCCACACGGGAACUGAGACACGGUCCAUACUCCUACGGUAGGCAGAAGUGGGGAAUAUUGCACAAUGGGCGCAAGCCUGAUGCAGCAAUGCCGCGUGUAUGAAGAAGGCCUUCGGGUUGUAAAGUACUUUCAGCGAGGAGGCGUUACUCGCAGAAGAAGCACCGGCUAACUCCGUGCCAGCAGCCGCGGUAAUAC